UAACCAUGCUCCAUAGGUAGACAAUGUGUU
rnacentral:piRNA from 1 species